rnacentral:lncRNA from 1 species
CUGCCAGUUGACAGCCAGAUAUAUGAUCUUGGCGUCCAUUCGCCCCGCUGGCCUCAGCCUUCCUGCUGUAAAAAGGGGGUUGACAGCAGGCUCCUUAAGACUGCCUCCACCUCUGCCCCCCGACCUUAGCUCAUCCUCCUCUAUUCCAUUAUCCCUGAAGCAUUUGCCUCCUCAUGUAUCUCCUUCCCAAAAGACAAGAUGGCUGGCAGCACGGAAGUGAAAAGGGAAAGAAAGGCUGUUUAAAAAAAAAAAAUUCUAAAAUGAGUCACCUUUCAAGAAUUUCCCAUUUCCUCAUGCCUGGGUGCUUCCUCGUGUCGCUAAAUCAGUUCUUCCAAUGAAACUUGAUCUAAGAACCUGGUAUUUGUUAUGUGCACUGCUCUUGGAUGAUGUUUACAAUGUGCACACAUCUCUUUUAAGAGCUUGUAGGUAUCAAACGACCUCCAGGUUGUGCAUCAAAAAGACAUCAGCAGCCACAGAGUCAACUUUAGUUGAGCCUGGAGAAAAUCAUACAAAACCGUAGAGUUUUAACUAGGUUUUGUAUCAUCUUUUGAUAAGUUAGGAAAAAUAAUUACAGCUCUCCAAACUUCCCACUUAACAACUCCCAGGACCCUGCAGCACCCUAAAAUCUAGCCAGCUCCAAGAAUCACUCUCUACUCCAUACCCGGAUGAGCCUUGACUCACACUAAUUCCCUCCCUGAGGCUUAAGUCAGGGGGCAGCUGAUGGUUGUGGUCUGUGCUGCUUCCGCCUGGCCUAUUUUUCAUGCUGCCAUUUUGAAUUAGCAUAGGUUUCCUCCGCAACUGAUGCAUCUUCUAACCAGGCUGGGAACACAACACGCGCACACGCGCACACACACACGCACGCACCCACCCCACCCGGCUGCCGGACGCAAGCGUAAGUCAAGGACUUGCAUGCUAGAAUCAGACAGAAAAUCCAGAAAAGCCACGUUAUUUAACAGAACCCUACAAGGUCAGCUUUGAGUCAAAGCAGGACGGAGCCCUGACAGCAAUGUUUGCUACGGCCUCCCUCUGCAGUCAGCCUAAAGCAAGGAGCUGGAGGUAGAUGAGGCAAAGGUAAAGGAGACCAAAACAGUAUUUUAAAGAAAAAAUCAUUUAUCUUCAAAUAGGCUCCAAACCUAAGAUGGUGUAUACUGUUAGAGGACAAGAACCUGCUUCUAGCCAUCUUUGCGUCUCCAGGACCUGACUUGUGACCAUUCAAUAAGAGUUUGAUAGAUGGACAGACUAAUGAAUAGAUGAAGAUGAUUAGAAGCCAAAAUUUCUGAAUCUUCCUAGCACCCAGAACAUGGCUUAACAUCAAGGAAAUGCUCACUAAAUACUGUCAUAAUGGAAUGAAUGGAACCGAUGCCUAAUUGAAAAUCAUUAGGCUGUAAACCAUUUCCAUGUUCCAAUUUCUUCGUUUAUAGAACAGAAAUGAUAGUGUAACCACCUGAAAAUCCUUCACCUAGACUUCCAAAACCACACCCACCUCAUCAAUGAAGUCUGACUCUCUAGAAAGAAGCAAAUGACUGAAAUCAUGGUCCUGUGCCUUGACCAAAAUACCAUUCGUCAGAACAAAAGAAGUAGGUCAGUGAAACGGCAUUAGUAUAUCCUUCAACAGGCAAAUAAGUGAUAGUGUAGUUUGCUUUUGAAGUCGCUGUGAAAAGUUUUAGGUGAACAUCACCUACACCACAUUAAAAAUGGAAUCAAGUCAUUUUCUUUAAGAAAUGGAGUUUGAGAUAUGAGAAUUCUUUUGGGCUUUUUCUACUUAUUGGCCAAUUAUACACCCAGAUAUAUUUCUGCAAUAUUUCAAAGAUUCUAGUUCUAAUUUGUAUAAUAAAAAAAAUUAACAGCCUUUUCCAGACCACAUGUUUCCAACAAGACCUUCAAAGGCCUCGCUCGCUAUAUAAAACUGGCUUUAAACAAUUUCCUUUCCCAAAGAAGGAAAUAAGAUAUUUCGGUUUUGUAAAAGAGGCAAAACCAGGUACAGGCCACCUUUCCUGCUGGAGAGCUGGCAUAAGUGAGUGGAUUCUUAAUUACUAUUUUACCUGCGGGGCAUAAUU